rnacentral:rRNA from 1 species
AUCGAACGCUGGCGGCAGGCCUAACACAUGCAAGUCGAACGAGUGGCGGAAGGGUGAGUAAUGUCUGGGAACCUGCUUGACGGAGGGGGAUAACUACUGGAAACGGUAGCUAACACCGCAUACCAUCAGAUGCGCCUAGAUGGGAUUAGCUUGUUGUGGGGGUAACGGCUCACCAAGGCGACGCACCCUAACUGGUCUGAGAGGAUGUCCAUCCGCACUGGAACUGGGACACGUUCCAGACUCCUACGGGAGGCGGCAGUGGGGAAUAUUGCACAAUGGGCGCAAGCCGGAUGCAACCAUACCGCGUGUAUAAAGAAGGCCUUCGGGUUGUAAAGUACUUUCCGCGGGGAGGCGUUAACCGCAGAGAAGUCACCGGCUAACUCCGUGCCAGCAGCCGCGGUAAUAC